rnacentral:lncRNA from 1 species
UUUGUUUAGAGAUUGUUAAUUGAUAUUCAUGAAAUGGUCUGGUUUUAGCCCUGCCAUAGGCAUGGAGAGGACCUCAGUUACCUUGACAGCCCUGUUUCUACCAGACACCUUUGGUGUCUCUGAUCACUAGGGAAUGCUUUUGGAGCUUAGCGUAACCGUCACCAUCGCAAAUGGAGCUGAGUCAGAAGGUUGUGAUCCCUGAUCUCAGUUCUUGUCAAAGACCAUCAGUAAUCCUGAGCACUGAAAUUUUAAAACUGCUUCGAUUAUUAUGUCCUGUGG